rnacentral:tRNA from 1 species
CAUUAAGUGGCUGAAGUUUUAAGCAUUGGUCUCUUAAACCAAUUUAUAGUAUUUAAUAAAUACUCUUAAUGA